rnacentral:rRNA from 1 species
GAUGAACGCUGGCGGCGUGCCUAAUACAUGCAAGUCGAGCGAACAGAUGAGGAGCUUGCUCCUCUGACGUUAGCGGCGGACGGGUGAGUAACACGUGGAUAACCUACCUAUAAGACUGGGAUAACUUCGGGAAACCGGAGCUAAUACCGGAUAAUAUAUUGAACCGCAUGGUUCAAUAGUGAAAGACGGUUUUGCGGUCACUUAUAGAUGGAUCCGCGCCGCAUUAGCUAGUUGGUAAGGUAACGGCUUACCAAGGCAACGAUGCGUAGCCGACCUGAGAGGGUGAUAGGCCACACUGGAACUGAGACACGGUCCAGACUCCUAAGGGAGGCAGCAGUAGGGAAUCUUACGCAAUGGGCGAAAGCCUGACGGAGCAACGCCGCGUGAGUGAUGAAGGUCUUCGGAUCGUAAAACUCUGUUAUUAGGGAAGAACAAAUGUGUAAGUAACUAUGCACGUCUUGACGGUACCUAAUAAGAAAGCCACGGCUAACUACGUG